UUUAAAAAAGGACAGCGAACAAAGGAUUCUUUCGUUUUUUAUUAAUUCGCGCAUACAUAUCUGUUACUUGCCACGGAGGACAGAUUAAAACGAUUUGCGUUUAUACUUUUAAGCAGAAGCCGAGGGGACCGCACACAUGGCUGGCCGUCAGCACGCAGCCCCUGACGUCUCCAGCAGUCGGGAACGUCUGACAUCUCAUCCCUCGAUCCUAUUAAAGCAGACUUUGCAACAAAACUAGUUUACAUACAAAUCCCGAAAAAAUACUCAUGCGCCCAUUUUCAAUGCUUCUAGUCUAACAGCCAUAGUGGAUGCAUCGCGCAAAACACAAAGGAGGCCAGCCACGGUAUACAUCUGUGGAGGCUUUAAUGGGAUUGAGUUCCGAUCUACCGCUGAGUAUUACGACCCACUCACUGACCAGUGGAUAACGAUUGCGCCAAUGAGAACUCCCCGGCAUGGCAUUGGCGUCAUUGCUUUCAAUGAAAACAUCUACGCGGUGGGCGGAUCCAAUGGUGUUCAGAGUCUGCAGUGUGUGGAGGCCUAUGACCCUCUCACAGACCGCUGGCGUGGUGUGGCCCCCAUGUUCACCCCUCGCAGAAACUUUGGUAUUGAGAUGGUAGACGACCUGAUGUUUGUAGUGGGUGGUUUUGAUGGCUUCAAAACCAUAACAAAAGUAGAAUGCUAUGAUGCUGAAAACGACCGCUGGUACUGUGCCCAGGACAUGGGCAUAUCCCGGAGCGCCCUAAGCUGCUGUGUAGUGCCGGAGCUCCCUAGCAUUGUGGAAUAUGCUACCCCUCGCAAGUAACUGAUGGCCACCCAGGAGGCCUCAAAUACCAGGCCCAGUGGGUAACAUAUAGUAUACCCCCUGGCAAAAAUUCUGGAAUCACCACACAUAGAGAACCUUCACCCAGUUUUUUGAGUUUGUAGCAAAUAAAAAAUCAGAUAUCGCAUUUUUUACAUUUCUAUCAGUUCCAUAAAUGAGAAUUACAAGGUGAUUCUAUCAUUUUUUUCUUUACUUGAUUUCGAUAAAACUGUGCCAAUAAUUAAAAUAUUUUAAUUCAGUUUCCUUAAGGUACGUACCUAGAAAGUUAAAAAGUUAAACAAAAUAGCUUCCCUAGUGUGGCGAUUCCAAAAUUUUUGCCAGAAGU